CUACGGGUGGCAGCAGUGGGGAAUAUUGCACAAUGGGCGCAAGCCUGAUGCAGCCAUGCCGCGUGUAUGAAGAAGGCCUUCGGGUUGUAAAGUACUUUCAGCGGGGAGGAAGGGAGUAAAGUUAAUACCUUUGCUCAUUGACGUUACCCGCAGAAGAAGCACCGGCUAACUCCGUGCCAGCAGCUGCGGUAAUACGGAGGGUGCAAGCGUUAAUCGGAAUUACUGGGCGUAAAGCGCACGCAGGCGGUUUGUUAAGUCAGAUGUGAAAUCCCCGGGCUCAACCUGGGAACUGCAUCUGAUACUGGCAAGCUUGAGUCUCGUAGAGGGGGGUAGAAUUCCAGGUGUAGCGGUGAAAUGCGUAGAGAUCUGGAGGAAUACCGGUGGCGAAGGCGGCCCCCUGGACGAAGACUGACGCUCAGGUGCGAAAGCGUGGGGAGCAAACAGGAUUAGAUACCCUGGUAGUC
rnacentral:rRNA from 1 species